GAUGAACGCUGGCGGCGUGCCUAAUACAUGCAAGUCGAGCGAAGGGGGGGCGAGUGAGUAACACGUGUAUACCCUCCGAUAAGACUGGGAUACCUUCGUGGACCCUGAGCUCAACCCGAUACUUCUAGAUAUAUCUUCGCUGCAUUAGCUAGUGGGUAGGGUAAAGGCUUACCAAGUCGACGAUGCAUAGCCGACCUGAGAGGGUGAUCGGCCACACUGGAACUGAUACACGUUCCAGACUCCGACGGGAGGCAGCAGUAGGGAAUCUUCAACAAUGGGCGAAAGCCUGACGGAGCAACGCCGCGUGAGUGAAGAAGGUCGUCGGAUCGUAAAGCUCUGUUAUUGGGGAAGCGGUACCUAACCAGAAAGCCACGGCUAACUUCGUGCCAGCAGCCGCGGUAAUUC
rnacentral:rRNA from 1 species